GAUGAAGAACGUAGCAAAAUGCGAUAAGUAAUGUGAAUUGCAGAAUUCAGUGAAUCAUCGAAUCUUUGAACGCACAUUGCGCCCGCCAGUAUUCUGGCGGGCAUGCCUGUUCGAGCGUCAUUUCAACCAUCAAACCCCAGGCUUGUGUUGGGGACCUGCGGCUGCCGCAGGCCCUGAAAACCAGUGGCGGGCUCGCUAGUCACACCGAGCGUAGUAGCAUACACAUCGCUCAGGGCGUGCUGCGGGUUCCGGCCGUUAAACCCCUUUUUUACCCAAGGUUGACCUCGGAUCAGGUAGGAAGACCCGCUGAACUUAAGCAUAUCAAUAAGCGGAGGA
rnacentral:misc_RNA from 1 species